rnacentral:rRNA from 1 species
CCUACGGGGGGCAGCAGUGGGGGAUAUUGCACAAUGGGGGAAACCCUGAUGCAGCGACGCCGCGUGUGGGAAGACGGUCCUCUGGAUUGUAAACCACUGUCCCCAGGGACGAAGAUGACGGUAGCGGGGGAGGAAGCGCCGGCUAACUACGUGCCAGCAGCCGCGGUAAUACGUCGGGAGCGAGCGUUGUCCGGAAUUACUGGGUGUAACGGGAGCGGAGGCGGGACUGCAAGUUGGGUGUCAAAUCUACCGGCUCAACCGGUAGCCGCACUCCAAACUGCAGUUCUUGAGUGCAGUAGAGGCAGGCGGACUUCCUUGUGUAGCGGUUAAAUGCGUAGAUAUUAGGAGGAACACCAGUGGCGAAGGCGGCCUGCUGGGCUUUUACUGACGCUGAGGCUCGAAAGUGUGGGGAGCAAACAGGAUUAGAUACCCCUGUAGUC